rnacentral:rRNA from 1 species
GACGAACGCUGGCGGCGUGCUUAACACAUGCAAGUCGAGCGGUAAGGCCCUUUCGGGGGUACACGAGCGGCGAACGGGUGAGUAACACGUGGGUGACCUGCCUUUAGCUCUGGGAUAAGCCUGGGAAACCGGGUCUAAUACCGGAUAUGACUCCGCGGCGCAUGUUGUGGGGUGGAAAGCCUUGUGCGGCUGGAGAUGGGCCCGCGGCCUAUCAGCUUGUUGGUGGGGUGAUGGCCUACCAAGGCGACGACGGGUAGCCGGUCUGAGAGGAUGGCCAGCCACAUUGGGACUGAGACACGGCCCAGACUCCUACGGGAGGCAGCAGUGGGGAAUAUUGCGCAAUGGGCGAAAGCCUGACGCAGCGACGCCGCGUGUGGGAUGACGGCCU